AUUGAACGCUGGCGGCAGGCCUAACACAUGCAAGUCGAGCGGAGCGGCGGACGGGUGAGUAAGGCCUAGGAAUCGGACUGGUCGUGGGGGAUAACGUCAGGAACCGGGCGCUAAUACCGCAUACUAUCAGAUGAGCCUAGGUCGGAUUAGCUAGUUGGUGUAGUAAAGGCCUACCAAGGCGACGAUCCGUAACUGGUCUGAGAGGAUGAUCAGUCACACUGGAACUGAGACACGGUCCAGACUCCUACGGGAGGCAGCAGUGGGGAAUAUUGGACAAUGGGCGAAAGCCUGAUGCAGCCAUGCCGCGUGUGUGAAGAAGGUCUUCGGAUUGUAAAGCACUUUAAGUUGGGAGGCGUUACCAACAGAAUAAGCACCGGCUAACUCCGUGCCAGCAGCCGCGGUAAUAC
rnacentral:rRNA from 1 species